rnacentral:rRNA from 1 species
GAUGAACGCUGGCGGCGUGCCUAAUACAUGCAAGUCGAGCGAACGGACGAGAAGCUUGCUUCUCUGAUGUUAGCGGCGGACGGGUGAGUAACACGUGGAUAACCUACCUAUAAGACUGGGAUAACUUCGGGAAACCGGAGCUAAUACCGGAUAAUAUUUUGAACCGCAUGGUUCAAAAGUGAAAGACGGUCUUGCUGUCACUUAUAGAUGGAUCCGCGCUGCAUUAGCUAGUUGGUAAGGUAACGGCUUACCAAGGCAACGAUGCAUAGCCGACCUGAGAGGGUGAUCGGCCACACUGGAACUGAGACACGGUCCAGACUCCUACGGGAGGCAGCAGUAGGGAAUCUUCCGCAAUGGGCGAAAGCCUGACGGAGCAACGCCGCGUGAGUGAUGAAGGUCUUCGGAUCGUAAAACUCUGUUAUUAGGGAAGAACAUAUGUGUAAGUAACUGUGCACAUCUUGACGGUACCUAAUCAGAAAGCCACGGCUAACUACGUGCCAGCAGCCGCGGUAAUACGUAGGUGGCAAGCGUUAUCCGGAAUUAUUGGGCGUAAAGCGCGCGUAGGCGGUUUUUUAAGUCUGAUGUGAAAGCCCACGGCUCAACCGUGGAGGGUCAUUGGAAACUGGAAAACUUGAGUGCAGAAGAGGAAAGUGGAAUUCCAUGUGUAGCGGUGAAAUGCGCAGAGAUAUGGAGGAACACCAGUGGCGAAGGCGACUUUCUGGUCUGUAACUGACGCUGAUGUGCGAAAGCGUGGGGAUCAAACAGGAUUAGAUACCCUGGUAGUCCACGCCGUAAACGAUGAGUGCUAAGUGUUAGGGGGUUUCCGCCCCUUAGUGCUGCAGCUAACGCAUUAAGCACUCCGCCUGGGGAGUACGACCGCAAGGUUGAAACUCAAAGGAAUUGACGGGGACCCGCACAAGCGGUGGAGCAUGUGGUUUAAUUCGAAGCAACGCGAAGAACCUUACCAAAUCUUGACAUCCUUUGACAACUCUAGAGAUAGAGCCUUCCCCUUCGGGGGACAAAGUGACAGGUGGUGCAUGGUUGUCGUCAGCUCGUGUCGUGAGAUGUUGGGUUAAGUCCCGCAACGAGCGCAACCCUUAAGCUUAGUUGCCAUCAUUAAGUUGGGCACUCUAAGUUGACUGCCGGUGACAAACCGGAGGAAGGUGGGGAUGACGUCAAAUCAUCAUGCCCCUUAUGAUUUGGGCUACACACGUGCUACAAUGGACAAUACAAAGGGCAGCGAAGCCGCGAGGUCAAGCAAAUCCCAUAAAGUUGUUCUCAGUUCGGAUUGUAGUCUGCAACUCGACUACAUGAAGCUGGAAUCGCUAGUAAUCGUAGAUCAGCAUGCUACGGUGAAUACGUUCCCGGGUCU